UCACGAUGCUGAUCCACGUAGUAUUAACGUGGAUAUCACAUACUGUGUUGGGAAUAUGUUAUCACAGAUGACAUAUGGAUGGCGACAAAUUGCAAAGCAGACAAAUUGCCAUCAAUAUAAUCUCACGUGCAGAUGUCAUGCAUAACGACGACUUGCUGUCAUUAUGAUAUCAAGCACCUUUCGUUGAACGCAUACAUUAUGACUUGCCGUCAGUUUGUUGAAUUCUAAUGAAGACUUUACAUGAUGUCAGAACAACAGUCAGUUUGUGGAAACACCUUGGCUUUAGUAAUUUUAAUUAAUUGAAUGCGGAAUAAGUGACAGCAAAAUGACAGCACGUUGCCCUCAUUUGGCUAUCUGAGUACAUUCAAAGGAAUCAUGGGUCUUAGACUCGCGACACUCGCAAGUGGUCUAUAACUCUAAACGCAGAUGAUGGAUCUAAAGCUGCAGACAAAUAAAUUUCUCUUCAUGAUUGCUAAGGACAACUUGCGGUUUCGUACAGUUAAAAAACAAGGUUUUCAAGCAUUUUUGAAUUCAAUAUUGCCCUUAUACAAGAUUCCUAAAAAAGGAUAACUCAUCUUAUGGAAGAAAAAUACAACCUUUUAUCAGAUCAAUUACAAUCGCAUUCGGACCUAAAGCUAAUUCAAAGUGUUGAAACACGGUGGAAUUCUACAUAUGCUAUGCUAAAGAGAUUUAUAGAAUUGUCGGAAAAAAUUAGUUAUAUUAUUUUGCAAUGUCCUACGACAUCUCCAAUGCUGACUGCCCUAGAGCUGCAAUCGGCAAAAGAAUUUCAAUUCAAUUUUUGAAACCAUUUGAAGCCGCAACAAAAAUGUGAUGAAAACUAUCUUACUGCGAGUAAGGUAAUUCCUAUAGUAAAUAUUGUAAAAAAUAAAUUUGAAAUAAUUAAACCUUUUACUGAGAUAGGGCAUUAUUUGAAAAAGAUAUUAAAAAAUCAAUUUGCAAAACGAUUUGAAAAUAUUGAACAACUUUCAUUAUUAGCUAUAGCUACAAUUCUAGAUCUGCGAUUAAAAAAUAUUAAUUUUAUCGAUAAAAUUGCUUGCUCACAAGCUAUUAACAAAAUCACGAAAGUUAUAAAUUGUCAAAUUGCAAAAACUAAUGUUAAAUGUCAAAAUGAACAAAAAGUUACAAGUAAUGAUGAUAAUACAGACUUUUGGUUUUAUAAUAAAAAACUUGCAAAUUUGAAUAUAAUUAAACAAGUUGUUAAUCAAAAUCCGGAUCAAAUGCCAGAUGACUUUUGUUAUUAUUUACAUCAGCCACUAAUAAAAAUGGAUGAUAAUGUUGUUAAAUAUUGGAACAUAGCCAGAGAUUCUCAUUUAAAAACCUUGGCAAUUAAGUAUCAAUCAUUAAUUACUACGUCAGUUCCUUCCAAAAGGCUCUUUUCCAAAACAGCAAAAAUAAUAAACAAAGAGAGAAACCUAUUAACAAUCAUUUAAAUCAAUUAUUUUUUUUAGGCAGCGUCCGAAGUGGCCACUUUAGAAAUGGCCACACGUAAAUUUGACCACGUUCGAAAUGGACAUGUUCGAAAUGGCCACGUUUGAAAUGGCCACGGGAAAUAUUGCGCGGAGUUCAAUUUGUCCACGUUCGAAACGGUCACGAUCGGAACGGUCACAUCUGAAAUGCCCACGUUCAAAAUGGCCACGUGCUUCUUGACUACGUCGCAUACCCUCAUGCUUCUUGACCACAAGCACAAGCUCUGUCUAGCACAAGCCAUGCAAAAAAUGCGCGCUAACCCAUGUACAUUGCAAACAAUGUAAAGUUCACAAUCAGUGAUUGCUGAAAGAUUUCCAAUACAAUGUACAUGGGUUAGCGACACGGACGGAGCGGGUGCGGGAGGGGGGUCAAGGUCCCCCUUGCACCCUCCGUAUGUGUAUGUAUGUGCUGCGACGUAGCUUUCCGCCGGGAACCGCCAGGUCCGAGGGGAUACGCCCAAUUAAUAAUAAUUGACAAUAGUUAUCUAACUGUUCGCGAGUAACGCUUCCCCGCGAGAUCGGUAACUCUCGAAAACGGUAGCCUGUGUGAACGGUAACUCCAAAAA